rnacentral:rRNA from 1 species
UCAUUAUCGUAGGGCUUCGGCCCUGUCGAGAUAGAACCCUUGCCUUUUUGAGUACCUUUCGUUUCCUCGGCAGGCUCGCCUGCCAAUGGGGACCACAAAAAACACUUUGCAGUACCUGUAAUAGUCUGAACAAACAAACAAAAAUUAAAACUUUCAACAACGGAUCUCUUGGUUCUGGCAUCGAUGAAGAACGCAGCGAAAUGCGAUAAGUAGUGUGAAUUGCAGAAUUCAGUGAAUCAUCGAAUCUUUGAACGCACAUUGCGCCCUUUGGUAUUCCUUAGGGCAUGCCUGUUCGAGCGUCAUUUAAACCUUCAAGCUCAGCUUGGUGUUGGGUGACUGUCCGCUUCACCGCGGACUCGCCUCAAAAUUAUUGGCGGCCGGUACAUUGGCUUCGAGCGCAGCAGAAACGCGAACUCGGGCCCGUCGUAUUGGCUCCCAGAAGCUAUCUUCACAAUUUUGACCUCGGAUCAGGUAGGGAUACCCGCUGAACUUAAGCAUAUCAAUAAGCGGAGGA